UACGAAGGGGGCUAGCGUUGCUCGGAAUCACUGGGCGUAAAGCGCACGUAGGCGGACUCUUAAGUCAGGGGUGAAAUCCUGGAGCUCAACUCCAGAACUGCCUUUGAUACUGGGAGCCUUGAGUUCGGGAGAGGUGAGUGGAACUGCGAGUGUAGAGGUGAAAUUCGUAGAUAUCGGGAGGAACACCUGUGGCGAAGGCGGCCGACUGGACGAUCACUGACACUGAGACGCGAAAGCGUAGGUAGCAAACAGG
rnacentral:rRNA from 1 species